rnacentral:rRNA from 1 species
AUUGAACGAUGGCGGCAGGCCUAACACAUGCACGUCGAGCGAGCGGAGGACGAGUGAGUAAUGUAUGGAGAUCUGCCUGAUGGAGGGGGCUAACUACUGGAAACGGUAGCUAAUACCGCAUACCCUCAGAUGAACCCAUAUGGGAUUAGCUUGUAGGUGAGGUAACGGCGCACAUAGGCGACGAGCCCUAGCUGGUCUGAGAGGAUGAGCAGCCACACUGGGACUGAGACACGGCCCAGACUCCUACGGGAGGCAGCAGUGGGGAAUAUUGCACAAUGGGCGCAAGCCUGAUGCAGCCAUGCCGCGUGUAUGAAGAAGGCCUUCGGGUUGUAAAGUACUUUCAGUCGGGAGGCGUUACCGACAGAAGAAGCACCGGCUAACUCCGUGCCAGCAGCCGCGGUAAUUC